rnacentral:lncRNA from 1 species
AGGACAAUGCUCGUGUUUAUUCUGGCUUCUAGCCAGGUGGGAAUUCUGGGACUUGGUUCACAGAUAAAAUGCCUCAACCUAGGAGAGGAAGUGCGCUGCUCAGGAACUACCCGGGGCUGCAGAUUCCCAUCGUCUGGAGGCAGGAAAAGCUGCCUGCAGUGUGUUCGUGUGCCUGUACAGAAUUCUCUUGCCAACCUUUGCAGCGAGAGAUAGUAGCUAAAUGCUCAGAAUUAAAGAGCAACCCCCAAAACCUGGAAAAGAGUCUAAGUGAACAAAGCCUGCCUGGAAUGGAAGAGCUCUGAGUGAAGAGAGUCAGCACAGAGAAGCAAACAGAGGACCCUGUCAGGACUACUUAUCAAACUGUAAUCAACAACAACCAUUAACAACCAACAACCAACCAACCAACCAACCAACCAACCAACAAUCAACAACUCCACCUCUCAGGGCCCUUUUUUAUAUAUUCCCUGAAAACUUUCCAGAAUUCCAAACACCACACAAUCGCAUAAAACUGUCUUCAAGUGUCAGAAUCAUGCCCCCACCAGAGCUCAAGGAAAAUCAGUCAGCUGCUUCGUACACGCUGAAGCAGCCCCAUGUCCCACACCUGGGAAUAAAAUGAAAGCACGUUCUUUUCUCUGUGUGUGUGUGUGUGUGUGUGUGUGUAUGUGUGUGUAUUUUAAGAAACCAAAAUUCUUACCACAAAAUGAUAUCUGAGUUUGCUUUCUAUUGCUGUGA